ACACAUGCUACAAUAUGUUGAACCUUGAAGACAUUAUGCUGUGUGAAAUAAGCCAGUUACAAAAAGACAAAUACUGUCUGAUUCCACUUAUAUGAGAUUCCUGGAGUAGUCAAACUCAUAGAGACGGAAGCAGAAUGCUGGUUGCCAGUGGCUGGGGAGAGGGUAAAUGGAGAGUUAUUGUUUAGUGGGCAUACAGUUUCAGUUUGCAAAGAUGAAAAUAACCUGGUAGCGAUUGUUGAACAAUGUGAACGUACUUAAUGCCACAGAACUGUACGCUUAAAAAGUUUAAAUGGUAAAUUUUAUGGCACAUGCAUUUCAUCGAAAUGUUUAAAGGGACUAUGAAGGGUAACUUGUAUGAAAUAAAAUGGGUAGAACGCUCUUGCGGUCCUUUGGAUACAUUCUAAACCUGAGUUGGGGUGUGAGGAGGGGUGGGUUCAGAGAUUUCUUUCCAGAAAGAAAAGAGCCACAACCACAACACCUGCACUCCCCACCGCGCCGGAACGUUUCCAGCACGGGGAUGCGCUGCGGCAAACCUAGAAGGAACCCAGAAGCAGAAAAUCCUAGAAUGUGAUCGUUUGGAGCCAGAGGGCAUGAAGUGACCGGCUGGCCGCCUUGCCACACCAAGUCAGAGCCGUCCCUAAGAACCCACACCUGCUGUGCAGACCCUGAGCUCCUGCUCUUCUUGGGCCUUCAAGGAUAAAGAGAGCACCUUGGACAUCACCGGACAUACAGUAGUCAACUAUUUUGGAGUGCAUUAAUGAAUUCACUGGAGAAACAGAACCUGAGAAACUAUGCACUUGGGGGUAUGCUGAAAGACCAGAACAAGGCAUGAAUUUACACACGAGGAAAUUCAAUGAAAGUCUAUCUGCUCAAUUGUGUUACCUUCUGCCUCAUUCUCCAGCCCUGACUCCAUAAGGUCAGUAUCAGGCACCUAUUCCCUCCUCUCUAUUAUACCCUGGACAGAAUCUUGAGAGAGUCCAUUUCAAAGAAAUUGAGGGGCUAGAGAAGUUUAGGUAUUGAUACAUGAGGUCCCCCAAAAAAGCUAGUUUGCUUCUUGAUCACGGCAUAAUGAAGCCUACAAAUGCACUGGCUCCACUUACACAUCUGCAGAACUAGAAACCAACCACCCAGCACCAGGCUCUGCACAGCCAGCCCAGAAUCACCAAAUGUUUGAGUAAGGCUGCUAGAAGAAAGCAGAGAUAAGAGUAAACAAACUAAAAAUAGAAGUAAAUAGACAACAGAAAGCAAAAGAUAGUAGCAACAACAAAAACACACAAUAAUCAGUGUUUCCAGAGGGAUAAGAGAAACUACAUCCAAAAAAGCAAGAUGAGAUGGUGUAUAUAAAAAGAAACAAUCAGGGAAUAAGAGCUUUCAGAGCAGAAUAAAUACAUAUCUUUUUAAAAAUCAAAGAAGAAAGAAGAAGGAUGAAGGCCAGGUGUGGCAUCUCACACAUGUAAUCCCAACACUUUAGGAAGGAAAGGUACGUGGAUUGCUUGAGCUCAGGAGUUUGAGACCAACCAGGGUAACAUAGUGAAAAAUAUAUUAUAUUAUAUUUGUGAAUAUCUGAUACUAUAUUUGUGAAUAUCUGCCAGACUUAUACUUACUGAAGUCAAAUAAAAUACAGAGCUGAAUCUCUAAAUUUAAAACAUUUUAUUUAGGAAGCAAUAAUUGCAAUUUGGGGCACAUAGACCGGGUGGCCUUAGUAUGUCUGAAGAACAAAGAGAAGGUUGUACAUUUUAUAAAAAGGGAGCUUACCAUCAUUAGUCAUCAGAAAAAAAUAAAAAUUAAAACCACGGUAAUAUACUAUCAUCCUCCCAGAAUGGCUGAAUUAAAAAAUACUCAGAAUACCAAAUUUUGGUAAGGAUGUGAACUCUCUGAUAUCCACAGUAUAAAAUGAUAAAACCAUCUCAGAAACCUGUUUGGCAGUUUCUAAUAAAGUUAAAUACACACUUAUCUAUGACCUGGAAAUUCUCCUCCUAGGUAUAUAUCUAGGAGAAACAAAUGCAUAUGUCUACAAAAAGUCCUAUAGAAAAAUGUUCAUGGCAGCUUAUUUACAAAUGCUAAAGAUGGAAAACAGCCCACAUAUUCAUUAUCCAUAAACAGAUACACAUACUCAGGUGGAUUCAUACAAUGGGAUAUUACCAAACAAUACAAAUGAAUAAACUACUGACACAUUUAACAACAUAGAUGACUUUCAUAAAAAUCAUUAUGAGCAAAAGAAGUCAGACAUAAAAUAGUACAUACUGUAUAAUUCCAUUAACAUGACCACUGAACAGGCCAAACUAAUCUAUGAUGAAACAAAUCAGAAUAAAUGUUGCCUCUUACGGGAGGAGGGUAUUGAUGGGAAAAGGGGAGAAGGGGACAUUUCAUGGUGAUGGAAACAUUCUAGAGGAUGGAUAACCUGCGUGAUAGUCAGGUAGAAAGAGUCAUCAAGCCAUACACUUACUAUUGCAGUACUCAAUAAAGUACUGCAAAGAACAAAUCAAUUCCAGCUGUGACUGACAAUUUAGAUUCAGAGCAAUCCAUGUGUUGCAAACACCCAGAAAAGUCACCAAAGCAGGGGAAGUCUGGAAGGAUUUUCUUCUAACACUUUUUUUUUCUUUUUCUUUUUUUUUGAGACAGAGUCUUGCUCUGUUGCCCAGGCUGGAGUCCAGUGGUGUGAUCUCGGC